rnacentral:snRNA from 1 species
GUGCUCAAUUCAGCAGCACAUACACUAAAAUUGUAAUGAGACAGAAAGGAUUGGCGUGACACUUGCACAAGAUAACAUACAAUUUGUGAGCAUUCCAUAUUUUA